rnacentral:tRNA from 1 species
GGAGUUGUGGCUCAGUGGUAGAGCGCUUGCCUAGCAUGUGUGAGGCCCUGAGUUCGAUCUCAGCACUGCA